rnacentral:rRNA from 1 species
UACGUAGGUGGCAAGCGUUGUCCGGAUUUACUGGGCGUAAAGAGCGCGCAGGCGGUCGUUCAAGUCGCGUGUGAAAGCCCCCGGCUCAACUGGGGAGGGUCACGCGAUACUGAUCGACUCGAAGGCAGGAGAGGGAAGUGGAAUUCCCGGUGUAGUGGUGGAAUGCGUAGAUAUCGGGAGGAACACCGGUGGCGAAGGCGGCAUCCUGGACCGGCAUUGACGCUGAGGCGCGAAAGCUAGGGGAGCAAACGGG